rnacentral:rRNA from 1 species
AUUGAACGCUAGCGGCAGGCCUAACACAUGCAAGUCGAGCGAGCGGCGGACGGGUGAGUAAUGUCUGGGAACCUGCCUGAUAGCGGGGGAUAACUACUGGAAAGGGUGGCUAAUACCGCAUACUAUCAGAUGUGCCGAGAUGGGAUUAGCUAGUUGGUGGGGUAAAGGCUCACCAAGGCGACGAUCCCUAGCUGGUUUGAGAGGAUGACCAGCCACACUGGGACUGAGACACGGUCCAGACUCCUACGGGAGGCAGCAGUGGGGAAUAUUGCACAAUGGGCGAAAGCCUGAUGCAGCCAUGCCGCGUGUAUGAAGAAGGCCUUCGGGUUGUAAAGUACUUUCAGCGGGGAGGCGUUACCCGCAGAAGAAGCACCGGCUAACUCCGUGCCAGCAGCCGCGGUAAUAC